GGGGGCGAUCAAUGCCCGAUGGCGUGGACUGGAACGCAACGCUGGAGAAAUCCUGCUCCAGAGUGGCACGGGUAAUCGAGCGAGGAAAGGCGAAACGGAGAGUAGCGAAAGAGCGGAAGCUUGACAUCGACAUUGGCCUUCGAUCGAUUCGAAACGCGCAAAGAAAUCUGGAUGGCAAAGCGGAGGCAGUAAUAGGCGAGUUCUUCCGACUGCGAAAUCGAUAUGUACACUCUACUCGCUACUCUAUCGGCCACUCUACGCCCACCUUUGGAGCUCGGUGAACAAGACAGAAGGUUCCAGUCUUGCCGAGCUCGAGCAUCUUUGAUCAGAGACUGUCUCGAUUGGUUGCCCCGUCGCGAUUCUAAUUAUGAAUAAUCGAGAAGCGCGUCUAAGGAAGUUUGCAUCGUAAGCGUUAUUUCGUCUUGCGAUCAACCGAGCAACGCGAACUUGCUAUCGAUCCUCGGAUGUGCUUCGAGAUAACGGAAUUCGCUUGCUUCUUCAUUCGCCUUAUUACUCGUCCCCGAGACAACACCCUGUUUGGCCUAGGUGACGAUGUACAACGAUCGAUCGAGCUGCUGGACAAAGUGCUCUCAGAGUACGACGAGCACGAAGCAGAGGGCGAAGGUGGUGGAGGCGUCGGCGUCGGCAGUGGCGGUGGCGGUGACGGUAGUGGAGGUGGGAGCGGCGGAGGUGUCGGGGAUUGUGGAAGCAGCACCGAACCGAGUAUUGGUCUCACACCCGAUGACGAAAGUCCGUCCUUAGGACAUCAAUCCGAGGACGACGGUUACAUGAGUAUGAAUGGACGGAAAGCAAAGAUGGCCCUGGUAGCACUGCGUCCAGUUCCAGACUGUCCAGAGCCACAAGAUCUCGCGGGUAUAUCUACGCAAGAAUUUCCGCCACCGCCUGAAGAAGCUGAACGAAUCAUUUCUACUUUGUUGCCUAUAGUGUCACCUGGAAAUUCUUCGAAGAGAAACAGCCAUUCCUCGUCUCGUCGAAGCGGACGACAACAGUGGAUGAUAGCUAUGGAGGAUAGCAUACGACACGGAAAUGGUAGCACGGUUACCACUCAAACGACACUCGUGAAUUGUAUUUUCGCGCAGCCCAAAACGCGACACCAGAGACCGUAUGGAUGGGAAAACGGAAAUGGCGAGCCUCUGAAACUGGCUCAACCUCCGAGUCCACCGAGCAAAUUCGCCAGCUUACCGUACGAUGGCAAGGUAUCGUUCGGAUGGAUCCCGCCACGAACCAAUCCGACGACCGUCGAGAAGCAUCGUGAAGUCAGGCGUCGAUCGUCCGAAGAGGAAGGACUGGACGGAGACAGCAAGAGCCACCGGCAGAGCUUCGAAAAAGAUCGGACAUCGCAUUUGCGGAAGCAACGUCAGAGCAAUGAGAUCAUGAAGUCUAGUAGCGUGGAAGAUCGAUUGCUGAUGAAUCAUGAACAAUCGGAACAGAACGGCAGAAGGAGGAACGAUUCCGAUUCCAGCGAAGGCAGAUUCUCGAGGAACUCCGAGUCCGAGAGGUCUUCUAUUCCACGCUCGAGUUCGGUCAGCGUCGAGAGGUUUUCCAUGCGAGCCACCUGCGGAUCAUCUGACUUCUCUAGAGCGAACUCGACCUCGAACGAAAGAUUCCACUCGGACUUCUCGAUAGCGGUGGCCAGCGCCAGUUCGAACGACCGGGUCUCUGUACCGACGUCUGAUCCAUUUUCCAUUCGGAACCUCGAUUUUGUUUCGUUCUCUUUACCAACGAGGACUGACUCCAACGAGAGAUUCUCGGCACCAACCUCGGACAGAUGCUCCGAGGAGCGCUACUCCGAUAUGUUCUCCACCAGGAAUUCAGAUUUUUCGACUAGGAACUCGACAGACUUUAGAACUCAGUCCGAGGAAGAGCGAUUCUCUGAUGAUUCAUUGGAGGAACUUUUACCUCCGCCACCUCCGAUCAGCAAGAGGCAUUCCAUCGCCUGGGAGGUACCCUUGGAAGACGAUCCAUUGUACGCUCCGGGUAGUACCAAGGUGAUUGGUAGGAGACGACGUAAAAGCAGUGACGUAUCCAGCGUUGGAUCGGCGUCUAAGCUUCGAGAUUUCGACGACUGGCAGGAUCCACGAUUAUCGACUACCGACGACGACCUAGUCUCCCCGUAUUCGGAUUCCUCAACCAACGAACUAGAUCAAAUACGACCACAGGAACUGACCAAGAACGGUACCUACGUGAUACGUCGCGGUCGAAAGAAGGAGAGGAAGGGAUUGCCGAAAGCGCCUACUAAAACUAAGAGCUUGUCCUUCGAGAAUAGCGAGGAAAAUCGGUUAUCCGAUGUGAAACGAUACUCGAGUACGUUUGACAAUAUUAGAAGCCUUUUAAGGGAGAACAAAUUGGACGAACCCAUGGACGAUCCGCCGAUGGAAUUUGUAUCAACCGUUCCACCUGACCUGGUCAGAGUAGUCUCGCUUCCGGCGAUUAACGACGAAACUGACAAUUGGCCACGAGAGUUGGAGGUAACAGUGGAAGAGGAAGAAAGUUCGGAUCUUUCUGACAAGGAUAAGAAGACUCGGGAAAUGUUCGAGAUGCUUCAAUUAUCAUCCUCGUUAUCGCUGUCGAGCGAGAAGCUUGAGAAAGGCCGACUCGAAUCCAUGUCGUCGAAUCAGGGGAAUAUCGAGUCGAACAGCACGUGUAAUGGAAUUUCUCUUUCAGCCUCUAACAGCUAUUCGAAAGGCUUCAGUCUCGCAAUGACACCACCUAGCGGAAACGCGUUCACCGAAGAGCCAGGCGCAAGGAAAUCUCCGAAUCCCAGUCUCAAUAACGAACAUCGGCUGGCGUCCAAGAUCCCGGUAAACUUGUUGAUCGAAGAUCAGAUUGUAAAGAAGGCUUUGAAAGAGAACCGACGACAACUGGAGAAAGUAAGCGAUGCUAUCAAGGAGAUCGAAAGCGUAAAGAAUAGCGAAUCUUACUCAGAAAGUAGGCAACGGUGGCCUCGAAGAGAAGACUCGAAGCAAGUAUUAACGAGGAAGACCAGUCUCGAGGAACCGAACGAACGAAAGCUACUUGAUAAUAGCACUGGUGUCACUGUGGAUGUUCGAUCAAAGAAGCAACAGCAACAGCAUGACUCGGAUCUCGAUUCGGACACGACAUCCAAGACUAGUCCUGAGACGACGGAUGUCGAAGGACGAAGGGCAAAUGGAACGGAUGCCUAUUCAUCGGGGAAAAGAUUGCGACAGAAUGGCGUCGAAGGGCAUAAAAACGAUCAAAAGCAAAUUGAGAAUGUAAUUGACGCGAUUCUCGAAGAUUCCAAGAAUCCGGACUUUCAGGUAAGCGUGGAAGUCCUCGAGUUUCCUCCCUUACCACCCUCACCCGUGGAGGAAGCAGACGAGGAGAGCUCGGACGUCGGUCAGAGCGCCGUGAUCGUUCCAAAGCCAAAAAGUCACAGCAAUCGUACAAUGGAAUACAGACCUAGGGUACCACCCCAUCGUGGACCUGUUACCAAUUCGUUCUCAGAUUCGAAAGAUCAACAAACGUCUCUCAAUACUAGAUCCAUGGAUGCUGGAUUCUCUCGGGGUAAAAGAACACCUACUGCCACCAAUUCCAGACGGGAGCAAAUACCAGUAGAACGCAGGACUUUGCCUACGGAUUUACCUGGACCUUCGCGACGACGACCGUUCACAAAGAGGCACUCCCCAUCGGCGGAACCGUGCUCCUCUGUUGGAAACGGAGCCUGCAGUGCUAGUGCCAAUGCAAACGGAGCUAAUAACGGAGCUUGUAGCAGUAGCACUGGUGGAACCACCGGUAACAUUGCAACCGGUACUAGCGGAAUGCAAACUUCUUGCUCGCUACCGGAAACUCCUGUUUUCGCUAGAGGAAGUGAUAUUCCCAGAACUCCUCAACAUGCCAGCAACCCUACGCAAAUGCGUCGGCAACCUGGUUGGUAUGCCCCAACCACGGCUACCACCGGGUAUCGCAGGAAUAACUCGGGUCUGGAGCAGGCGAUAAUCGGGACAGAGUUAUUGCGAUUGACCGGUGGCCCUAAUCGUGGAUGGUAUCCGACGAGGAAGGCGAAUCAACCACGACCGGCUUCGAUCGAGCACCUCGAACGAUUGAACAACGCGUACGACCCACGUCUAGCAGGUUCCGGGGACCAGAGGAAACCACUCACACUGCCGACAAACAUCACACCGAACAAAUACUUCGGCCAAAGUAAGCACAGCUCCGCCUCCAGCACUCGCGAGGCGCUACGGAGGGUCACUAGCUUGCUCAUCAAGAAAGGAAGCGGAAGCAAGGACAGCAAGAGUGGGAAAGAUAAUGCAUCACCGCGUGGCCCUUAUGCCGCGGCCGAAUGCGGGGACGCGCCAAAAAAAAAAGGAUUCUUCAAGGGUUUCUGGAAGAGGUCACGUCAUUAUUCACUGGAGAACCAAUAGCCCAGGUUAGGCGGUAGGGUAACGAGUCAGCAACGACAGAGACAGGCGCCGCGGCAACAGCACCAUUAUCGACAACACGUCGCUACGAGCGCUUUGACGCACAGUGCUUGCUGCUGCAUCGUCCAGUAGCCUCGGUCCCGCUUCGUGGUAGAACCAGCGACAAGGUUCGCGUUCCUUCGUCCAUUUCAUCGAGCUUUUAUUCCACCCGAUCGGUGGCCUCCGAGUCCAACACGAACUACAUACGUCAAUCCGUGGUGUUAAUUUGUCCGCAUCUAAUAUCGUUCGACCGUUCACGAUAGCGACGGCGCGAACGCGCGCCGAUGAUUAAAAGAGGCUCUAUAAUCCGAAGGAAGAGGAAAGAAGAAACAAGAAGAAAACUGAAAAAGGGAAAUGACGAAUGCCGCUUGGCCGUAAUGUAGGUUACGAUAUUGCUUUUUUUUCCCCUGCGCGAUAUAUCGUAUCAGUUUAACGCGCGGUCUUGCUACCAGUGUAUAGUGACUUUUGUAAAUAACGAUCACGAAACGCGAGGAUACGUGAAAGGGAACGUAAGAAGAUAGAGAGAAACUGUUCCGCGAUCUUUGCACGACGAAAGAUCGCGUCAGAACUGUGAGAAUGAUGGGCAUUCGAGAUGCAUCGGCCGCGUGCUAUUGCUGCUGCUGCUACCGCUGCUGCCACCGUUGCUGUUACCGUUGCUGUUACUACAGUCGCAAACUCGAGAGCACGCUGGCCGCUUUGUCGCACAUCCGUUGGCACGCAUGCACACCUACCUGAUAAGACUCUAACUUAAAAAGGUAAUCUAAUAAAGGUUAAUGCUACUUAAACUUAAUGCCAAUUAAAUGAACGUUUGUAAAACAAUUUUCGCCACAGCGGCGCAUGCUAUCUCAUUUCGCGUAUAAAACGUACACGUGUACGCGUUCGAUUACUUUCUUCGAUCUUGCCAUCUUAUGUUCUUUUUCUUCUGCUACUUUGCCUCCGCCCCUCUCUUUCUCUUUCCCCCUCUUACCGACUAUUUAAACAGCAUCGAGAAAAGGCGUUGUUUCCUUCGAACACGGGUAUCGUGUAAUUACCGCUAAUACUGGGAACCCCCUGCGAAAAGAAGAGCAGAAAACGAAACGUUUAGCGACGAAUUUAACGAACGCCGUAAACUUUGAGCGUCCAAGAUCAAGCAUCACUAAGCCACCAAUCAGUGAGUGGAGGGGGGUCUCGUCUUCCCGCUGGAACGAACAGUCCGAGUGUUUGGAAAAAAACGUCAACAAUCGGAGAUCGAAUUACGUUCGGCUCGCUGACGAUGCCUCGUCGAUUCGAAUGUGCGUCAGAUACGAAGAAAUACGCGAUACUCGCACGCCGUGUUAUAUACUGAUUUUUCCACUAUCCUAACAAACAUACAUACGAAAUAUAAUUUCGAAAUGUUUCCACGUUUCAUGCCGUUUUACGUUCCGACGUGAUCGUGUAUUCGAGAUAUGCGUGCAUGUUCAAGUUAAGUUACCGAAAUUAUACGAUCCGUGGUUCGUAUACGCCAUUAUCAAUCCACGUUUGUUUAAAUUAGCCACGAUGUUAAGACCGGUUCGUUGGGCGCAUCUUUUUCUAGUCUUUGUUCCCUAAAUGAAAGCGAUCCAGGCGAAUGUCUGAGUGGGGAAAAAACGGGUCGUAAGCGAAAACAAACUCGGGUGAAUAUGCUUCGCGUAGUUGUACGAUUUAGAUUACGUAGAAAUCGCGCGGAAAAAAGGCAACGCGUCGGGGAGGAAAUUUUAGUACAAAUUCGAUAGCUUUAUCGUUUUAUCGUGGAAGAGCAAGAAUUCAAGGUACUAAAAAGACGAUAUGGCAAUAAACACGUGGUCACGAUUGGGAAGUCGUUCGAUGAAUCAAGCGCUCGACGCCUCGGUACUAAUAUCGACAUUUCGUACCCCGUGAAGUAAGAUCCGAGUCUUUCCUUCGAGUUACGUACCAUUAUCCGACAUCUUCGUUUUUGCAUCUGUGCUGUCGUUAAUAUCCAUUGUUUUUUCCACCGCGAAUGUUUACGCAUCGACGAUCUCUAAUCGUAUGUGAAGAGAGGUCCGGAAUUUAUUAUUUAUUCAAAGCGAGUCGAAUAAAUUUCGAAAACGAUCUAAAAUGUAGGUUAUAAGGCGUUGAUCGAUAGAAAAUAUGAAAAAGUGGCGAUUUCGAUCGCGAUAAUUAGAAGUAAUGUUUUUUAAGAGAAAAAAAAAAAGAAAAAUCAAUGCGAGUAAACGAGAGCGAUUUUUAUGUAAAUUUUCUUGAUAAUUUUGUAAAAAGUUUUAUUUAAUCUUCUAAUCUACCAAUAAAUUAAAUGACAGUUCAUAAAUGAAAUGAAACGAUGUUAUAUAUACAUAUGCAUGUACGUAUAUAUGCAAGAUGCCUUGUCGUUUCGCAGUCUUCUUAAAACCAUUUAAAAAGGCCGGCGAAUACGGUGUCGAAAUUGAACGUUUAGUAAGAUAAGUAACAUCAAAGACUAACCAAAUUGUAGAACCAUAAAUGAAAACCUUCCGUGCGUGUUAUUUUUCCGUUUUCAUUUAACGGAAAAUCAAAAAGAAAAAAAAAAAAGAAAUAAAUAGAAGAAGCCAAAUAAAAAUUACUAUAUCCGAUUCGUAUUAAAAAUGGUGUCCUCGACGACUGUGGUAGAACUUUGAUGACGUUUAUCUCAAUAAAUAUUCGUUUUUGACAUUCAACUUAUAGGAUUCCCUUC
rnacentral:misc_RNA from 1 species